UGACGCACGGGCUCUCCUCCCCCCGCGCAGCGCCCCCCGAGCUCCAGAUCGGGAGGGGAAGCUCCCGAUCCAGAGCCCCUCGCCGCCCCGCUGCCUUCGCGCUCGGCCUCGCCACCGGCCGCCGCGCCGCCGUCGACCAUAGCCGGACCUCCACGCCUCGCGCCCCCUCUUAUGGAGCAGCCAUGGCCACCGGCCGCCGCGCCGCCCACCACGACGAGCUGCUCAGCACUCUCCUCGCCGCCGCGGGCAACGGCCGGGAGGAGGAGGAGGACGCGCGGGAGGCGCGGCAGCGUCAGAAUCAACGCGUCGAAUCCGGCCUCGGCUUACGGCGACACGGACGUGGAGGCUCUGGCUGCGACCGCCGCACUCUAUGCCCCGACCCUGCUCGCCGAGCCCUGCCGCUCCGGUUCUCCAUCCAUGUACGCUGUCGGGGACUUGCAGGUCCAAGCUUGCUUCAAUUUGCAGAAGAAAGUUGGGUCCUCACGGAAAGGAAGGAUGUUUGCUAAUGUGGUUGGGUGGCUUUCUGUUUUUGGAAGGAGGAAGGUUUAUUCAGUCCAUCCUCCUGCCUCUCCCUGCACAAAAAAUGGUUCAUCCUUCAUUGGUAUGUUUGCAGCUAUGGAGGAGGUGAACGCAGAGACAACUGCGGGCUAGCUGCAGCUUCUGUUUGAGCAGAGGCGAUCGUUCCUUGCCGGAAUCGUAUUUCAGGGUACAUGAGAGGCUGCUCGACCGCAGCUUCUGGAUCAGGUCAACGCGGCUGCUCGAGAGGCUGGGGACGACGCAUCUGCUCGGUGCAGAAUGGCGGUGGCGGGAUCCAGCGGGCGCGGGAGAAUGAGGGAUCCGGCGCCGUGGGCGAAGUCCUUGCAGCUGGAGGCGGGCCUCCAUGGCUGGCAGGGAGAGCUCCAAGGUCAUGGCGGGGCUUUGAUUUUUCUGGUAGAAAAGAGAGACAGAGGAGGAUCCAGGGAGGAGGAGAGGUAGGAGAAGAAGGAAGGGUGCGGCAGGGUGCAGCGGUGCGAGGGCACUGGUCUCCCGCGUGAGGAGCGCCUCUCCUUGGGAGGAUCUGGAGGGAGUGAGUGAAACUCAAAUCCACUUCAGAGCAAGGUACUGUUGUAGAAGUACGAAGAAGCAAGCUGACCAGAUGUACAAGUAGUAGCCGGCAACGACGAUGAAGCAAGCCAACCAGAUGUGCACGAAACGACCAUACAUCAUGCCUGAUUGAUCCUCCGUUCAUCAUCCGCAAGAUCUACAUCAUCAUCUUUGGGUCAGUUCGCCAUGAAGGCCAUUCUGCGAACGAGGUUGUUCAUGUCCCUCCUCAUGUACAGUUGUACUUCUAUUCUAGGAUUUCAACUCUGCACUCCAUUCCGCAUCCUGAAUAUUCAGAGUCUCGAGUUUGCAUGAGUCUCGAUUUGAUUAAAUGAACAGGUCAGUAAGAUAGAUUUUUGGUCGAGGAUAGAUUUUUGAUCGUGUGUGGGAUGAGAGGGAAUACUUAUCGGGUUAGGGUCGUGACAUUUUUUCUCCCCUUGCAACGCACGGGCAUUUUUGCUAGUGAUAUAUAAAUGAGAUACGUAUUACAGUGAAAAAAAAAAGCACAACCCAGCAUCAAUUAAUAGAUGUAGAGGUCACAACGGCGUAUGCUCCAGAUGACGUGCCUUCGACGCAGAUCAAACGCACUAUGCAGUCCACAAACUUCCCGAUGUUCGUAUUCCCAUUGGUUCACGUCUACCACCAAGGCCUUGUUGAUUCGUACAUCUGUCUAUGCUUCGCCAUUAUGAGCUGGAUACUAAUUGUUUUUCUGGGAUAAAAUUUUUGUUGGAGGAAUUUUUCUGGAUAAGAAUUUGUGUAGCAAUAUGUCAUGACAAUCUCUGGUGGCAUCAUGUCACUCUCGAUUUUCCGUAUUUUCGUCUGCCUAGUUUUUUUUGGACUUUUUGUAUGGUGCAAUGGGUGUCUCAGUAGCCAACUAUUGUAUGGUUCAAACACUUCUUGUUGGAUCGCCCAUACGUGGUGGUCCAUGUCUUAAGCAAGUCAAGCUCCGGUGCACCAAAAACGUCCUCAUCGAUGACAACCUUCAAAAAGGCAGGAAUAUGGUACUAACAUUUGCAACCAAUAGAUAGUUUGUGAUAAAUAUCCCAGAAGGUUAGCCCACAAUUUACAGGUCAUGUUAUUGCUAAUAUGAUUGAAAAAAGAAUCAUGAUUUCCUUUGGUACACACUUAUUGGCUUAACAAAGAAAACUUAA